GUGGGGAAUAUUGCACAAUGGGGGAAACCCUGAUGCAGCAACGCCGCGUGGGUGAAGGAGCGUUUCGGCGCGUAAAGCCCUGUCAGCGGGGAAGAAGAAAGACGGUACCCGACCAAGAAGCCCCGGCUAACUACGUGCCAGCAGCCGCGGUAAUACGUAGGGGGCGAGCGUUAUCCGGAAUUACUGGGUGUAAAGGGAGCGUAGACGGCGAGGUAAGCCUGAAGUGGAAGCCCGCGGCCCAACCGCGGAACUGCUUUGGGAACUGUUUUGCUGGAGUAUGGGAGGGGUAAGCGGAAUUCCUGGUGUAGCGGUGAAAUGCGUAGAUAUCAGGAGGAACACCGGUGGCGAAGGCGGCUUACUGGACCAUAACUGACGUUGAGGCUCGAAAGCGUGGGGAGCGAACAGG
rnacentral:rRNA from 1 species